AUUUUCUGAGCUGCAAAACCAUCUGUAGAUGCAUGUAACAGUGCCAUUCCAGGUGUCCAACGAGUUGACACCUUGCCAGCUUAACGAGAGAGUAAAUCCUUCCCGUGGAUUGAAAUCGAACCACGUCUUUGAUCAGUUACAAGGUCGUUUUUCUUAAAGACUAUCUUUUCCCCAGACAUGUGAGAGUUCCAUAAAGGCAGCUUAUGAUCCUUGUAUCUCUGGCAUUUUUCUUCAAAUUGAGCCCCUUUAAAGUGGAUGGGGCAAGACUGAGGAAAUAAGAAGGCACAUACAAUAGUUUGGGGAAUCAGCGAAGCUGAGUUGCAAUGAAGAGGUUCCACUCCUUUAGAUGGGAAGCCCAAGCAGCCAUGAAUCAGACUGAGAAUUACCACAGAUCAGCCUGAAGGUUCUACAUAUGCAAUCGCCAACUUGAGCGAUGUGAAUAAGCUGGGUGAAGGUGGAUAUGGCCGUGUCUACAAGGUAUUCUACGGAUAGCCUCCUUUCCCUUUGCUAGUGAAUCUGGGUAUUAGUUAAACUGAUAUUGCGUCAUA